rnacentral:rRNA from 1 species
GCGGCAGGCCUAACACAUGCAAGUCGAGCGGUAGCACAGAGAGCUUGCUCUCGGGUGACGAGCGGCGGACGGGUGAGUAAUGUCUGGGAAACUGCCUGAUGGAGGGGGAUAACUACUGGAAACGGUAGCUAAUACCGCAUAACGUCGCAAGACCAAAGUGGGGGACCUUCGGGCCUCAUGCCAUCAGAUGUGCCCAGAUGGGAUUAGCUAGUAGGUGGGGUAACGGCUCACCUAGGCGACGAUCCCUAGCUGGUCUGAGAGGAUGACCAGCCACACUGGAACUGAGACACGGUCCAGACUCCUACGGGAGGCAGCAGUGGGGAAUAUUGCACAAUGGGCGCAAGCCUGAUGCAGCCAUGCCGCGUGUGUGAAGAAGGCCUUCGGGUUGUAAAGCACUUUCAGCGGGGAGGAAGGCGUUAAGGUUAAUAACCUUGGCGAUUGACGUUACCCGCAGAAGAAGCACCGGCUAACUCCGUGCCAGCAGCCGCGGUAAUACGGAGGGUGCAAGCGUUAAUCGGAAUUACUGGGCGUAAAGCGCACGCAGGCGGUCUGUCAAGUCGGAUGUGAAAUCCCCGGGCUCAACCUGGGAACUGCAUUCGAAACUGGCAGGCUAGAGUCUUGUAGAGGGGGGUAGAAUUCCAGGUGUAGCGGUGAAAUGCGUAGAGAUCUGGAGGAAUACCGGUGGCGAAGGCGGCCCCCUGGACAAAGACUGACGCUCAGGUGCGAAAGCGUGGGGAGCAAACAGGAUUAGAUACCCUGGUAGUCCACGCCGUAAACGAUGUCGAUUUGGAGGUUGUGCCCUUGAGGCGUGGCUUCCGGAGCUAACGCGUUAAAUCGACCGCCUGGGGAGUACGGCCGCAAGGUUAAAACUCAAAUGAAUUGACGGGGGCCCGCACAAGCGGUGGAGCAUGUGGUUUAAUUCGAUGCAACGCGAAGAACCUUACCUGGUCUUGACAUCCACAGAACUUUCCAGAGAUGGAUUGGUGCCUUCGGGAACUGUGAGACAGGUGCUGCAUGGCUGUCGUCAGCUCGUGUUGUGAAAUGUUGGGUUAAGUCCCGCAACGAGCGCAACCCUUAUCCUUUGUUGCCAGCGGUUCGGCCGGGAACUCAAAGGAGACUGCCAGUGAUAAACUGGAGGAAGGUGGGGAUGACGUCAAGUCAUCAUGGCCCUUACGACCAGGGCUACACACGUGCUACAAUGGCAUAUACAAAGAGAAGCGACCUCGCGAGAGCAAGCGGACCUCAUAAAGUAUGUCGUAGUCCGGAUUGGAGUCUGCAACUCGACUCCAUGAAGUCGGAAUCGCUAGUAAUCGUAGAUCAGAAUGCUACGGUGAAUACGUUCCCGGGCCUUGUACACACCGCCCGUCACACCAUGGGAGUGGGUUGCAAAAGAAGUAGGUAGCUUAACCUUCGGGAGGGCGCUUACCACUUUGUGAUUCAUGACUGGGGUG